rnacentral:rRNA from 1 species
CAACUUCACACAACAGGAUCUCUUGGCUCUCAGCAUCGGAUGAAGAACUAGCAAAUGCUAUAAGUAAUGUGAAUUGCAGAACACAACGAAGAAUCGAAUCUUUGAACGCACCUUGCGCUCCUUGGUAUUCCGAGGAGACAUGCCUGUUUGAGU